CCAGUCGGCCUAUGGAACCACUGUUGUGUGCUCCGCUGCGUUACGUCGAAGGCAAAUACGCCCUCUAAUCGGUGUGGGCUUGCACGCAUCGGUGGGGCUUGAUAGAAAUUCAAGCCUCGACGCUGUACCCUAACGAGAAAGCGAUGAUGACCCGUUGAGGAUGACGAAUCGUGAAAGCGAUGAUGACUCGGAGAGCCCCAAAUCGKGAAAUCGUUAGGCGAGAGUGUCGUCAAGAGUUGGUUGCGUACGUAGGUCCCUCCAACCCGGGUGUAGAUUAUCUCCUGAUGAUCUCAAGCCCGYGAUGACGGUUUCAGUGAGCUAUCCUGGAUCGUUGUCAAUCGGGCUUGCUUGGUUAACAAGCUCGUGAUGGGUACCGSCGCAUGUGGGAAGGAUUGCUGCCUGGUCUUGCUUAUGUAUAUGUGCGUGGUCGGACUGGUUUCUCAUGCCUCGUUAGCGAUUUUGUUAGUCGCGUUGAUUGAGACUUGAUCCGAUGAUGAUGUUACCGUGCGUUGAUUGAGCUUUGCUCUUGAUGCAUUGCUUCGGGGUCGUUUGGUCUUUGUUGCUCGAGCAACAUGAGCGACCAGUUCCUCAACGCGGAUAUACAUAAGCAAGCGAUGAUGCAAUGGUUCUCACAUGCCACGGUACCCCAUGGACCCUUCCUGAUCGACCCUUCCUGAUCGACCCUUCCUGAUCGACCCUUCCUGAUNGACCCUUCCUGAUGGACCCUUCCUGAUUUUCCCAUCGUUCGGGGCAUUCUGGGGCUGUUUUGGCUAUUGGUUGCUUGUUUGGUCUUGAGCUGAACGGGUGGCUUCUAGUCUGGUGGCUUCGGGGAUGUUGUCCGUAAAGGUGGAUGAGUGGUGUUUGGUUUGUUACGUGUGGUUGGCUGCGGCGUUUGCAACAACUUCCAUGCUUUCAGACCUCUUCAGUUGUGCGGCAAGGCUUGUAUCGCCUUGAGCGUGCUGUGGGUUUUCUGUGUUGGCUACCUAAUCAAUGGUAUCGGUUGGAUUGAUCAAAGUUUGAUUUCGUCUUUUGUCGCAUUCGCGGCGUGAGGUGAACCUCGAUGCGGUCUCUUUGAUCCACCUCGUUGAAGCACAUGCCUUGACGUUGUGGCACAUUGAGCAUUGCUUGGUCUCUUGUAUACGGAACAUAUAGUGGGCAUGGAUCUAACGAUUCUCGUUUGCCCUCAUAUUAGCGUAACGCUUCUCUAACACGACUUGCACC
rnacentral:misc_RNA from 1 species